rnacentral:rRNA from 1 species
UGAGGAAUAUUGGUCAAUGGGCGGAAGCCUGAACCAGCCAAGUAGCGUGCAGGAUGACGGCCCUAUGGGUUGUAAACUGCUUUUGCGCGGGGAUAAAUUGGGGAACGUGUUCCCCCUUGCAGGUACCGCGCGAAUAAGGACCGGCUAAUUCCGUGCCAGCAGCCGCGGUAAUACGGAAGGUCCUGGCGUUAUCCGGAUUUAUUGGGUUUAAAGGGAGCGCAGGCCGCCCCUUAAGCGUGUUGUGAAACCCGGGCGCCCAACGCCCGGCCUGCAGCGCGAACUGGGGGGCUUGAGUGCGCGCAACGCCGGCGGAAUUCGUCGUGUAGCGGUGAAAUGCUUAGAUAUGACGAGGAACCCCGAUUGCGAAGGCAGCCGGCGGGAGCGCAACUGACGCUUAUGCUCGAAGGCGCGGGUAUCGAACA